UACGUAGGGUGCAGGCGUUAUUCGGAAUUACUGGGCGUAAAGCGUGCGCAGGCGGUCUGCUAAGUGAGGUGUGAAAUCCCCGGGCUUAACCUGGGAACUGCGCUUCUAACUGGCAGGCUUGAGUGUGGCAGAGGGGGGUGGAAUUCCCGGUGUAGAGGUGAAAUUCGUAGAUAUCAGGAGGAACACCGGUGGCGAAGGCGGCCACCUGGACGGUUACUGACGCUGAGGCGCGAAAGCGUGGGGAGCAAACAGG
rnacentral:rRNA from 1 species